ensembl:lncRNA
CUAAAAUUUGAUGUAAUCUUUAUUACACUAUUGCAUUUUAAAUUUUUUUCUGGGCUCAAAAUCUUCUAUUUUGCUUUCAGUUACCCCUCCAAUGCUGACAAACUGAUGUUGGCUAAAAGCAUAACAACAAUCUUCCCAUCAUUAAAGAUCAAGAUACAAGAGGCGAAUGAAGGAUUUGAGCACUUUUAUGAUCCAGUGUCCCACUGUGGAUUCAUUGAGUUGAAACUGAGGAACCUGCGGAGAAACCUUCAUGAAGAUCAGAGACGCUAUCGCAAACGCGGAAAGUCCAGUGAGGCUUCUGGAGUAGCUAUAACAUUACAAGCAAUUUCAGAAGGGGAAGAAGAGUCCGCCAAGGAUUGGAUAACAGCUACCAAAAGGAUCAGACCAUCUCCUGAGAACCUCACAUCUAUCAAAAUGGGCAUGCAGAAAACCUUUAACAACCGCAGGUUCUGGAUCUCAAGCCAGUCACCAACAGUAGAAGAGAUUCUCCAGGAGUACCCUCGCUUUGUAGACAUGCCAUAUUUGAUUGAUGCAGAGUUUGCGAGAAUGUUUCCGGGCAAGGAAGACCUCUUCCUCCGGAAAUGGGAAGGGCAUAUUGUUCCGAAACUCCUGAAAGUGGCUACACUUGAAAAUGAAAAUGACCCUAGUGAGCCGUCAGUUGGUGAGGAGAUUGAUGAGUCACGUUGUUUCAGAGCCCUAAAGUUACUCACCCGUUAUCUACCUCCGACUGCAUCAGGGAGGAGCAAAGGAUGGACAAAAUGCAGUGUCAAAUCAGCCCUGUCCUACAUCUUGGAAGUGAAACCGACUGGAACGAGUAUCCCCAGCCUUCUACAAGGAUCGUUAGAAGCCGCAGCCGGAGCAGCAGGAGUCCACCAGCCCAAGCUUGUGUGUAUAGGACAUCCCAGUACAACAGCUCAGUACAUAAUUGUGGCAAGGAAUGACAAAGUCGCCAUUCCACUUCAAGAUGAAGGGUUGACAUGCGCCCUGGACAAGCUGUUCAAAAUGUUGUGGGUUUGCAACGUAGCCUAUCCUGUCCAACUUGAGUCAGUGUAUUCUUUUUUUGAGCAUGUUUAUGACAUGCCAAUCUCAGGUGCAAAGAGGUCAAAGGUUUUGGAGUUAAUUGCCAAGCUUC